rnacentral:rRNA from 1 species
AAAGGAAUAGACGGGGGCCCGCACAAGCAGCGGAGCAUGUGGUUUAAUUCGAAGCAACGCGAAGAACCUUACCAGGGCUUGACAUCCACAGAAUGCAUUAGAGAUAGUGCAGUGCCCUUUUAGGGAACUGUGAGACAGGUGGUGCAUGGUUGUCGUCAGCUCGUGUCGUGAGAUGUUGGGUUAAGUCCCGCAACGAGCGCAACCCCUAUCGCUAGUUGCUAACACUAAAGGUGAGCACUCUAGCGAGACUGCCGGGGAGAACUCGGAGGAAGGUGGGGAUGACGUCAAAUCAUCAUGCCCCUUAUGUCCUGGGCUACACACGUGCUACAAUGGCCGGAACAGAGGGCAGCUAAGGAGUAAUCCGGAGCAAAUCCCAAAAACCCGGUCUCAGUUCGGAUUGUGGGCUGCAACCCGCCCACAUGAAGUCGGAGUUGCUAGUAAUCGCGGAUCAGCCAUGCCGCGGUGAAUGCGUUCCCGGGCCUUGUACACACCGCCCGU